rnacentral:rRNA from 1 species
GACAGAGGAGCCAAGCGUUGUCCGGAUUGACUGGGCGUAAAGCGCACGCAGGUGGUGUGGCAAGUGCUGUGUGAAAGCCGGUGGCUUAACUGCCGGAGGCCAUGGCAGACUGCCAGACUUGAGCCCGAGAGAGGUCCGUGGAAUUGCCGGUGUAGUGGUGAAAUGCGUAGAGAUCGGCAGGAGCACCCAAGGAGAAAUCAGCGGACUGGCUCGGAGCUGACACUCAAGUGCGAAAGCGUGGGGAGCGAACGGG